CGCGCAGGCGGGUCAAUAAGUCAGAGGUGAAAUCCUACAGCUUAACUAUAGAACUGCCUUUGAUACUGUUGAUCUUGAGUAUGGAAGAGAGAGACGGAAUUCCAGGUGUAGUGGUGAAAUACGUAGAUAUCUGGAAGAACACCAGUUGCGAAGGCGGUCUCUUGGUCCAAUACUGACGCUGAGGCGCGAAAGCGUGGGUAGCAAACA
rnacentral:rRNA from 1 species